GUGAGUCAUCGAGUCUUUGAACGCACAUUGCGCCCUCUGGUAUUCCGGGGGGCAUGCCUGUUCGAGCCUCAAUGAAAAAUCUCCUCCGAUGCUGGUGUCUUCCGGCACAUGGGGGGUUCUGGCGGAUGCCCACACCUUCAACUGUGUGCGCGCUGCCCAACAUCCGAUGUCCGCGAGCCUGAGGAUUGCAGCCGAUGUAGUGAGAUUCAAUCUCGUUGUCUGUAAAACCUGACAGAGGCAAUGGGACCUUAAGCGCUAUGGCGCCAACAUCAAGACGGUUGAGCUCGGAUCAGGUAGGGAUACCCGCUGAACUUAAGCAUAUCAAUAAGGCGAGG
rnacentral:rRNA from 1 species